GCGGGCAGCAUAACAUGCAGUCGAGCGAGCUUGCCUAGAUGAUUUUAGUGCUUGCACUAAAUGAAACUAGAUACAAGCGAGCGGCGGACGGGUGAGUAACACGUGGGUAACCUGCCCAAGAGACUGGGAUAACACCUGGAAACAGAUGCUAAUACCGGAUAACAACACUAGACGCAUGUCUAGAGUUUGAAAGAUGGUUCUGCUAUCACUCUUGGAUGGACCUGCGGUGCAUUAGCUAGUUGGUAAGGUAACGGCUUACCAAGGCAAUGAUGCAUAGCCGAGUUGAGAGACUGAUCGGCCACAUUGGGACUGAGACACGGCCCAAACUCCUACGGGAGGCAGCAGUAGAGAAUCUUCCACAAUGGACGAAAGUCUGAUGGAGCAACGCCGCGUGAGUGAAGAAGGGUUUCGGCUCGUAAAGCUCUGUUGGUAGUGAAGAAAGAUAGAGGUAGUAACUGGCCUUUAUUUGACGGUAAUUACUUAGAAAGUCACGGCUAACUACGUGCCAGCAGCCGCGGUAAUACGUAGGUGGCAAGCGUUGUCCGGAUUUAUUGGGCGUAAAGCGAGUGCAGGCGGUUCAAUAAGUCUGAUGUGAAAGCCUUCGGCUCAACCGGAGAAUUGCAUCAGAAACUGUUGAACUUGAGUGCAGAAGAGGAGAGUGGAACUCCAUGUGUAGCGGUGGAAUGCGUAGAUAUAUGGAAGAACACCAGUGGCGAAAGCGGCUCUCUGGUCUGCAACUGACGCUGAGGC
rnacentral:rRNA from 1 species